GGCCAACAGUGGGGAAUCUUGGACAAUGGGCGCAAGCCUGAUCCAGCCAUGCCGCGUGUGUGAUGAAGGCCUUAGGGUCGUAAAGCACUUUCGCCAGAGAUGAUAAUGACAGUAUCUGGUAAAGAAACCCCGGCUAACUCCGU
rnacentral:rRNA from 1 species